AAGUCGUAACAAGGUUUCCGUAGGUGAACCUGCGGAAGGAUCAUUAGCGUAGUAGUGUUGAGUGUGGUGAGUGUGAUGCGCAAGCAUCUGCUCUCCUCAUUCACACACCAUACACACACUGUGAACUUGGAUAAUCUCUAACGUUGUAACAACCCAACAAAUCAAAAACAUUAAUAAUUUACAUACAACUUUUAACAAUGGAUCUCUAGGCUCCU
rnacentral:misc_RNA from 1 species